GUCCAAGCAGUGAGGCUGAUGUGUAGGCAAAUCCGCACAUCGUAAGGCUGGGCUGUGAUGGGGAGCGAAAAUUGCAGUAGCGAAGGUCAUGAGUUCAGGCUGCCAAGAAAAGCCUCUAGCCAGGUGAAGGUGCCCGUACCGCAAACCGACACAGGUAGUCGAGCAGAGUAUGCUAAGGCGCUCGGAAGAACUCUCGUUAAGGAACUCGGCAAAAUGACCCCGUAACUUCGGGAGAAGGGGUGCCUCGGUAGGGUGAAUAGCCCGAGGGGGCCGCAGUGAAAAGGCCCAAGCGACUGUUUAGCAAAAACACAGGUCUGUGCGAAGCCGUAAGGCGAAGUAUACGGGCUGACGCCUGCCCGGUGCUGGAAGGUUAAGGGGAGUGGUAAGCCGCAAGGCGAAGCUAUGAACCGAAGCCCCAGUAAACGGCGGCCGUAACUAUAACGGUCCUAAGGUAGCGAAAUUCCUUGUCAGGUAAAUUCUGACCCGCACGAAUGGCGUAACGACUUGGGCGCUGUCUCAACGAGAGAUCCGGUGAAAUUUUAAUACCUGUGAAGAUGCAGGUUACCCGCGACAAGACGGAAAGACCCCAUGGAGCUUUACUGCAGCUUGAUAUUGGACUUUGGUACGAUCUGUACAGGAUAGGUGGGAGCCUUGGAAGCAUGAGCGCCAGCUUGUGUGGAGGCAACGUUGGGAUACCACCCUGAUCGUAUCGGAGUUCUAACCUGGUACCGUAAUCCGGUACAGGGACCGUGUCAGGUGGGCAGUUUGACUGGGGCGGUCGCCUCCUAAAAUGUAACGGAGGCGCCCAAAGGUUCCCUCAGAAUGGUUGGAAAUCAUUCGUAGCGUGCAAAGGCAUAAGGGAGCUUGACUGCGAGACCUACAAGUCGAGCAGGGACGAAAGUCGGGCUUAGUGAUCCGGUGGUACCGAAUGGAAGGGCCAUCGCUCAACGGAUAAAAGCUACCCUGGGGAUAACAGGCUUAUCUCCCCCAAGAGUCCACAUCGACGGGGAGGUUUGGCACCUCGAUGUCGGCUCAUCGCAUCCUGGGGCUGAAGUAGGUCCCAAGGGUUGGGCUGUUCGCCCAUUAAAGCGGUACGCGAGCUGGGUUCAGAACGUCGUGAGACAGUUCGGUCCCUAUCUGUCGUGGGCGUAGGAAAUUUGCGAGGAGCUGUCCUUAGUACGAGAGGACCGGGGUGGACGCACCGCUGGUGUACCAGUUGUUCCGCCAGGAGCAUAGCUGGGUAGCCAAGUGCGGACGGGAUAAGCGCUGAAAGCAUCUAAGCGUGAAGCCCCCCUCAAGAUGAGAUUUCCCAAUUCGUAAGACCCCUUGUAGACGACAAGGUUGAUAGGUUCGAGGUGGAAGUGCAGCAAUGCAUGCAGCUGACGAAUACUAAUCGGUCGAGGGCUUAUCCG
rnacentral:rRNA from 1 species